rnacentral:lncRNA from 1 species
GUCUGUGAGCAGGCAUGGGUGGAACAAUCCGGCGAUUGCCGGAGGUAGCUCGCCGAAGAUGGCUCGUCGGAGAUGAUAUUCGGAAACGAAGAAAAGGAGAAGACAAAGUGUUGAGAAAGGAACAGAGACAGAUAGGGAGGUAGAGCAAUUAGAGGAAUCAGUUGGAAUUGAUCUCAAAAGUUGUUACCAGGUAGUUACAG